UAAUAGAAGAGUCAUUAGAGAUUGAAAUUUUCUUCAAUCUCUCUUAUCCAACUGCCUCCACUGAUCAGAACAAGAAAUAUUGCACGAAAGAACUAUCCAUCAACAAAUCUAAUUCCAUAAACCUUCUUAUGUCCUAUAUGUUUAACCAAAAAGUUAAUCGAACAUUCAUCGUGCAAUUUGAGAAGUAACAGUUAUGCUAGAUCUGCAAACUUCAACAACUCAAAAGUAAAAACCAACAAUUCCAAAAUAUGUGUGUGCUUGUGAAUAUAUUGUAUUUCACAAAUAAAUAAUCCUCGCACAUUUAGAUAUUCAUAAACUUACAAAUUGUUUGGUAGAAGAGUUUUCGUAUUCAAGGGAAAUAAUGACUUUGAAAAUCUAAUCAGUAUUCAUUUUCUUCUAAGAACCCUAGAGCAAUCUAAUAUUCGGUGGGGAAGAAACUCAAUAGAAAUUUGGGGUUAUUGCAAAUAAACUGAAAUUCAGAAAAAUACAAAGAAUCGGAGUUACCAAUUACGGCCGGAAAUCGUAAAGACGGUCUCGGUAAAUCAAUUUGUAGAGAGACCGACAUAGUACUUUGGAAAGGUCGGAUGGAGUAUUUCACAUGUCCGACAAGAGAAGGAUUCCGCUAGAAACGUUCCGGCAAGAC
rnacentral:lncRNA from 1 species